rnacentral:tRNA from 1 species
GCGCCGGUGGUGUAAGGCGAACAUCGCUACCGGGAAAGCAAGAGAUGCGGGCUCGAGUCCCGCCUGGCGCA